CCUACGGGUGGCAGCAGUGAGGAAUAUUGGUCAAUGGGCGCGAGCCUGCACCAGCCAAGUCGCGUGAGGGAAGACGGUCCUAUGGAUUGUAAACCUCUUUUGUCGGGGAGCAAAAGACGCCACGCGUGGCGUUCCGAGAGUACCCGAAGAAAAAGCAUCGGCUAACUCCGUGCCAGAAGCCGCGGUAAUACGGAGGAUGCGAGCGUUAUCCGGAUUUAGUGGGUUUAAAGGGAGCGUAGACCGGACUGUAAGCGUGGCGUGAAAUUUGGUGGCUCAACCAUGGGAGUGCGCUGGAAACUGGGGACCUUGAGUGCGCGAGAGGCAGGCGGAAUUCGUGGUGUAGCGGUGAAAUGCGUAGAUAUCACGAGGAACACCGGUUGCGAAGGCGGACUGCCGGAGCGUUACUGACGCUGAGGCUCGAAAGCGCGGGUAUCAAACAGGAUUAGAUACCCGGGUAGUC
rnacentral:rRNA from 1 species